GAUCAGCCCCUCCGUCUCCAUCUCAUUAACCAGCCGAUCGAUCUCCUCCGUCAAUCCAUUCCUGGCCAGGGCGACGACCAUCUCGCCGUACAUGCUGAGGUCGGCGCCGUACUCCGAUCGGAUGACGGAGAAGACUCUGGCGGCGAGGGCGCAUUGUUCCUGGCGGAGGAGCUCCUUCAAUGCGGCGGUGAGAUCGGCUUUCAGGAGGCGGGAGAAGAGAUGGGUGGGGAGAUUCGACGGGUCGGUUCUGUGGGCGCGUUUGAGGGAUUGGAUGGCUUGGAUUGCUUCGAUGCUUAGGAUUCGGCCUUUUAGGAGCGGGCCGCGGUUGUCGCGUGGGCCGCAGCGUAUGGUGGUUGUGCGGCGGAUGUUGGUGGCGGGGGCGGCGGCGGUGGUGGUG
rnacentral:lncRNA from 1 species